GUUGUUUAGUGGUAAAACUAGCCUUCCAAGCUAACGAUG
rnacentral:tRNA from 1 species